rnacentral:lncRNA from 11 species
AUGCCCGUCACAUCCUUAAGCAGAAAGGACAGGGAAGGAAGGCACACAGCAGCCGAGAGCCCUCUGGAGCGCUCUCAGCCACCGCAUGUCUCAUCCUCCUCCUGGCAUAAGGACAGUGCGAGCAGCCCUGUACUUAUGCCGGGAGGAUGGCUUGAGGAAGGCACACAGUGGUUGAGAGCCCUUCAGAGUGCUCAAAGACGUUGCCUAUUUUGCCCUCCUCCUGGCAUAAUGCUGAGAGAACAGCUUGAAGAUCAAGAGAGGAGUAUUGGGGAGGCGGCUUGGGGCAACAGUCACAUGUCUUGCUCUCCUCCCGGCAUAAGGACGGUGCAAGCAGCCCUGUACUUAUGCUGGGAGGACGGCUUGAGGAAGGCACACAGUGGAUGAGAGCCCUCUGGAGUGCUCUCAGAUGUCGCCUGUCUCAUCCUCCUCCCGAUAUGUUGAGAGGACAGUUAGAAGAUUGAUGGAGGAGGAUCGAAGAGGAGGAGUGGGGCAACUGUUGCAUGUCGCGCCGUCCUCCUGGCAUAAGGACAGUGCGAGCGGCCCUGUACUUAUGUCAGGAGCACGGCUUGAGGAAGGCAUACAGUAGACGAGAGCCCCCCGGAGUGCUCUCAGAUGUUGCCUGUCUCACCCUCCUCCCGGCAUCAUGCUGAGGACAACUCGAAGAUUGAGGGAAGAGUAUUCCAGAGGAUCAGGGCAACUGUUGCAUGUCUCGCCCUCCUCCUGGUGCAAAAAUGGGGUGUACUUAUGCCGGGAGAACGGCUUGAGGAAGGCAUGCAGCGGUUGAGAGCACCCCGGAGUGCUCUCAGCCACUGCGUGUCUCACCUUCCUACUAGCAUAAGGAAGGUACAAGCAAUCCUGUACUUAUGUCGGGAAGAUGGCUCGUGGAAGGCAAGCAGCGCUUGAGAGCCCUUCAGAGUGCUCUCAGCCACUGCAUGUCUCAUCUUCCUCCCGGGAUAAGGUAGGUGAGAGCAACUCUGCACUGUGUGCCUCAUGGAAGGCACACAGCGGAUGAGAGCCCCCCGGAGUGCUCUCAGCUACUGCCUGUCUCACCUUCCUCCCGGCAUAAGGAAGGUACGAGCAAUCCUGUACUUACGCUAGGAGAACGGCUUGAGGAAGGCAUGCAGCGGUUGAGAGCGCCCCGGAGUGCUCUCAGCCACUGCAUGUCUCACCUUCCUCCUAGCAUAAGGAAGGUACGAGCAAUCCUGUACUUAUGUCGGGAGGAUGGCUUGUGGAAGACAAGUCCUUCGGAGUGCUCUCAGCUACUGCGUGUCUCACCUUCCUCCCGGCAUAAGGUAGUUGAAAGCAACCCUGUACUUAUGCCAGGAGGACGGCUCGUGGAAGGCAAGUAGCGGUUGAGAGCCCUUCGGAGUGCUCUCAGCCACGGCGUGUCUGCCUUCCUCCCAGCAUAAUGAAGGUACGAGCAAUCCUGUACUUAUGUUGGGAGGAUGGCUUGAGGAAGGCAUGCAACAAUUGAGAGCCCUCCGGAGUGCUCUCAGCCACUGCGUGUCUCACCUUCCUCCCAGCAUAAGGAAGGUAUGAGCAACCCUGUACUUAUGCCAGGAGGACGGCUUGUGGAAAACAUGCAGCGGUUGAGAGCACUCCGGAGUGCUCUCAGAUGUCGCCUGUCUCACUCUUCUCCCAGAAUAAGGACGGUGUGAACAUCCCUGUCCUUACGCCAGGAGGACAACCUGAGGAUGCCCCGGGCCCUACACCACGUCCUCCUGGUCCCUCCCUCUCCCAGGUCUUCUCCCACCCAGGCCCACAACGCAGCCCUAAGGCAAAAUAGUUUGCCCAUGCCUGCCUUAAGGAAUAUAUUCGUGGAGAACGGCGACAAGAUGGUGAUAGCCAACAGCGAGGUUCUAUCUGUGGUACGGCCCGGCCAACCAAACCAAAAGUCCUUCCAUUGUUCAAGCGGUCCACACACUCCUCCAGCAUAGAUUGCGUCCCCCAAUUGGAAACGGGAGGACUUUCCCCAAAAGGAAUUUAAGACUUCGAAAAAAGAAUAAUCAUAACCUCAAGUGAGAAAAGCGAGCUGCGGAACGACAACCGGGAGCGACACGAGACAACACCACAUACAAUGAGAAAAAAAAUAGUAAUAACUCAAAAACAAACAACGGCUUUGGUCCACAAUCUGAAAACCCUGAUAUGAACUACAACAUUCUGUUUUUUUUUUUAAAUCUUGACAUGAAUGAAAUAAAGAGGGAAACAAGCCGGUCCGGUAAGGCAACAUCGGAAUAUACAAAGCGGGUUGGAAUGGGAAAGUUGGAAGGCCUCGAUGGAAUGGUGACAUAGGCACCGAUCGGGGAGGAAAAAGGUAAACAAAGGUUUCUUAAAAUAAUGCUGGAUUAUUAAAGAUGACCCCGCUCCCCUUUAUUUGUAAAGUCAGAUCCCUUUCGUUGGAAGCAAAGCACUUCGGCCGCCUCACGUGGAACGUGUACAUGCUCCUCUCGAUAACAACUAAAAAGGGCUUUUUUUGCCAGCGUAUGAAUUACAAAAGUACAGGAUAAAAAAGUAAUAGAAGACUAAAGUUUCGAUAUAUUUUAUACCAUCUUAUCUAUAACAAACAUUAACGCUAUUGCCUUUUUGCAUAUACAUAUAUAUUUAUAAAUACCUUGACGAACCCCAUUCGGAUAUUUGGUCAACUGGGAAUACAGCUAAGGCAAAGGACAGACCAAACAAAUGAAAGAAGAAAGGAGUAAAUUAUAUAAAAAGGGGAUUUAUAACGAGGAUACGAAGGCUGCUAUAGUUUAGGAGAGAUGCUGGUUUCGGUGAGAGGUAACCAAGGCACCUUAAGGCUCAAAAUGGGUCGUUCCCGAUCCGCAUAAUGAGGAUUUGAAGGCUGCUAUGAUUAAGACAGAUGCUGGUUUCGGUGACGGAGGUAACAACAAGGCACCUUAAGGCUCAAAAUGGGUCGUUUCUGAGACGCUCGGGUCGGAUGAUACUUACAUUCGGGCCUCCAUUUGCGCAAAAUUUCGCCCGACGGCUUGAACCUGAAUUGUAUUUUCACCCUGCCAGGAAGCUAAGCUAAAGCCGCAAUGGGGAUGAUGUCAUGGGUCGCAAAUGAUGCAGGAGACGGAAAAAGCUGCUCGUCGCCUCUAUUUUGCGCCAUCAUGGACCAUUUUUGCAAAAUUUCGUCUGACGGUGAAAUGCGUGAACCCGAUCAAGUACUUUGAUCAAGUGCAACAAGGACGACGUCAUGGGAUGCAAAUGGAGUGGGAGACGGAAAAAGCCACUCACCACCUCCGAUUUGCGCUGUCAUGGACUGUGUUUGCAAAAUUUCGUCUGAUGGCAAAAUGCUUGAACUCGAUCAAGUACUUAAAGUACAACAGGGACGAUGUCAAGGGACACAAAUGGAGUGGGAGACGGAAAAAGCAGCUCGCCACCUCCGUUUUGUGCCGUCAUGGACCGUGAUUGCAAAAUUUCAUCUCAUGGCAAAAUGCUUGAACCCCAUCAAGUACUUUGAUCAAGUACAAUAGGGACGAUGUCAUGGGACGCAAAUGGACUGGGAGACAGAAAAGGGUGCUCGACGCCUCUAUUUUGCACCAUCAUGGACUGUUUGCAAUUUUUGUCUGACGGCGAAAUGCUUGAACCCGAUGAAGUAUUUUGAUCAAGUACAAUGGGGACGAUGUCAAGGGACACAAAUGGAGCGGGAGAUGGAAAAAGCUGCUCGUCGUCUCUUAUUUUGCACCAUCAUGGACUGUUUGCAAUUUUUGUCUGACGGCGAAAUGCUUAACCCGAUGAAGUAUUGUGAUCAAGUACAAUGGGGACGAUGUCAUGGGACGCAAAUGAAAUGACUGCUCGUCUCCCCUUUCCGACCCAUAACGUCCUGCAGAUUAUAACUUUUCUAACGACCCGAGUGAGGAAUUGUAAUUUCUCUAAGGCACCACGAGGUUAGUGGACACAUAGGCGCAUAGGCUGAGGAAAAGAAGGCCUUUUCUUUCCCAAGGCUGAGUGGCGUUUAGGACAAAAUUGAGAACAGAUGCCGACAAAGCAUCAGACAACUUAAAGUGGGGAGCCUUCCAAGGGCAAAGGCAAUAAUACGCUCUCGAAUGGGAGCCAUCUUUGCGCCUUGGCUCCCCAACAAAAACAUCAACUCUUUCCCCUCCAGCGUAAUGGAUUUAGUUUGCUUCCUUGGUCAAAAAGAUUCGGACACAUCUGAAAAAAAGCCCUAGUCAACUGCUCUCCUCUAUUAAAAAAAUAAAACAUCUGUCGUCUUUCUAAGGUCACUUCUGCUGCAUUCGUUUGUUUUUGUUUCUUAUUUAAAGUGGCUUCCCCUCCCCUCCCCUGGAAUGAUGGAAGUUGGUCUCGCCCCGCAUCAGUGGGCCAGCCCUUUGAAAAAUAAAAACAAAAAAUAGUAAUAAUCAAGAAGCCGGACCCUUGAAGAAGGGCGGCAACAGCGGCGGCGGACGUUUGCGAUGCGUUGUUUUAACAGUCACGUUGUCACCGCCGCCGCCGCGUUGUUGCUUUUCUUUUAAAAAGGCGCUUAAAUGGUAGACUUGGAAAAGGAGACGCGCAAGUGGUGGCUCUCGCCGAGGUCGUGGUUGUGGAGGUCGAUGAGGGACUGGAUGGCUUCCUCGACGGAGCCCAUCUGGAUCAGCGCCAUCUUGCGGUCUCUCCUGUUGGGGGAGGAGCAGGGCGUUAAGGGAGCGGCGCUUCCAACAUUUGCUCUGAAUGGGUUGUCGGAGGCUUUCAUGGCCAUAAUCACUGGCUUGCUGUGAGUUUUCUGGGCUGCCUGGCCAUGUUCCAGAAGCAUUCUCUCCACAGCCUCUCCCUCUGGAGACAGCUUGAGAUUGACAAGGCCAAACUCAACGCGGCCAGGAAGAAAGGAACAUGACCUCACCCGGAAUCACUACCCCGCUCCCAACUCAAGGAAAGAACUGGACUUACUGGAAGAACUUGAAGCCUUUCACCAUGCCUCCGUUGCUUGAGAACAGCAGCUUGAUGUCGUCUUCGAUGAUCGAAGGCCUGGAGGGAGGGAAAGGGAACAGGGGCUCAAGAGUCUUCAAGACACACUCGCCCAAUCAGCAGCUUCCUUC